UAUUUUUCGAGCAUUGACGACUGUUCGGUCACGUAUAGAUAUACCCAUAUGCGCCUGUAGCCUGUUGUAUUUCGGCCGCCGUUGAACUCCGGUCGACCACAGAAUCGUGUAUAAUCUGCGCUUCUGACGCACGUCGAAACGUCAUUCAGACAAUUCCGUAGCGUUUUAUGAUUAUUUAAUAACGCAACGUUUUUGUGGUGUUUUGCGUUCAACACACGGCAAACGUGUUCGCUGGCCCAAAGCCCACCGGCGGCCACCAUUGCAUGAUCAGAACCUUGAAAGGUAAGUUUGACACAGCGGCGUCGCAGGACCUGAGCGAUCGUUACCCGUCUUGUUUUUACGUAUUUACAACUUAACGAAACGUACGAAAUGCGCUCCUCUCUGUAUAGUCUUCCCGCCCGUACAUAUUGAGUGUAACUCGUUUUAUACCCAGUGGGCCCCAUUUGUUCCGUACGUUCCGUAGGUGUCAAAUGAAACGCAAAUACCCUUUAUACGGUCGAUGAACGUGGUGCCCAUUGCUUGAACAGCAAAGUAUCCAUGGCACAGACCAGUAAUUGAUAACGUGUAUGGACGUCAACGAUCCUACUCUGUGGUCUGCACAAGCGCCACUAGACCACCGACUCGGGGGGUGCUGAAAUUAUAGACAAAUCAAACACCCAUGGGGGCUAUGCUUCUAUAAUCCCCUUUACAUGACUAACAAUAAUUAGCUACACCUUUCAUUUACAAUUUUGUAUGUACAAAUUUAUCGUGACAAUUUUAACAUUGUUUUUCACAAACACAUGAAACUUGUAUUUUGUUCUGCUCAUUAACCAUGAAAUACAUGGACAAAUAUUUUAUCAUUGCUAUGGAAAAACUAAUUGGGUUUUUUGGGAGUGCUGGUUUUAAACUUGGAGGUGCUAAAACACUCAUAGCAUCCCCUCCCCCAAGUUUCGCCUAUGAAUUGAUCUGGUUGUUUGACUGUGACCAGCAUAGAUAUCUAUGGUGGCCGCAUAAAUGCCACUAGAGCAUUAUUUCUGGGUGUGCUAAAUUUCUAUAUCAUUGACUUAUGGAGGCUUCACUCUCACACACCUAAUAUUGAUUAUCAACACUUACCUACAUAUUGCUUAGAAAUCCUUACCUGUAGUCAUUAAUAAUUGCUUUCAAAGUAAAAUUUUUCUAUAAAUAUGUAAUAAGAAUAUUAUUCUAAAAUUAUCGUCACAUGGCUAAUGUCUGCAUACUUUAUGAUUUAAGAUGUUCUUGCAGCCAAAUAAAAAUGAAACCAGUUUAUUAAUGUUUCAAUAUUUUUAUGUCAUAUUGGAAAAAAAAAAAUGUUUUUGCAACAGUUUGAUAAACUGUUAGUAGUAUUAAAAUGUAUAAUUAAUACUUAAAAAACUAUACUAUACGUACCUAUGUAUGAUGAGUUACUGAUCAAAUUACCUACCAACCCAAUAACCUAACCUAACCUACCACGUUAAAUGUAAGUAAAAAGACUAUAAGUAGGAUUCAAGACUUCAAGUAUUUGCUUAUUUUUUUUGGCCUAACAUAAAAUCUAGUAGAGUGUUAUGGAAACUCAUGUCUUAAUGAUCUCAAAUAUGAAAUUUGAAAAUGCUUUAUUUAGCCUAAUUCAAUUUUUUUGUUAAAACAUUUUUUUUUUUUUAAGUUUUUUCUAAUCAUUUUUGGUUUUUUGCAUAUUUCUGCUUAUGACAUGCUUAACAGACAUUUUCCUGGAAAUUUGAAUUUAUUUCUGUUUUGUAAUUUUUUGUUUAUGGUAAAGCUAUAACUAAAAAUGAUUUAAGAAUUAUUUGAAAUAGAUAAUUUAAGAAAACGUAAGAUUAUUCAAUAUAAUUGAGAAGGUAAGAAACAUUUUAAAAUACAUUUUUUUUGAUAAAAUUAAUUAAUUUUUCUUCGGUUAAAUAUUUAAAAUUUAUUUUCCAAAAAAUCUACUUUAAGUUUAAUAAAGAAGUCAAAAUGUUCUCAAAAAUGCUAAAAAAAUUUGAAUUUUUUAAAUGUUUAUAAUGAAGUAUUUAAACAAUUUUUUCAGCACUUAUUUUGAUGAUUAAAAAUGCUAUAAGCUCCAAACCCUGAGUAUGGUUUAUAAGUAUUCUUAGAAAAUUCAUAGUGUUAAUAUCUGGUUAAUACACUCCCCAGAAGUAAAUUAAUGCUAAUCCAUAAUAGAUUUUAAUGUCUAAUAUAGAUUAAAUAUUGUAAUUCCAAAAUUGUUUCUACUUAUACAAAAAUACAAAAGGAUACAGCCACAUACUUAUGUCCACGAUUUUGGUGCUUUAUAACCAUGAGUUUAUCUAAUGUGUUAGCAGAGCUAAAAAAUAUUUAAAUUUGAUAUAGUAGACGUAUAGCAACAAAAUUUAAGAGGCAAGGAACAUUGUCUUUUAUUAAUUAUUUUAAUUAUAUAUCAAAUAAUUAAUUAUUAUUAAUUUAAAAGGUUAGUAACAUGGUUGAAAAAAAAAUAACAAAAACUAUGCGUUGUACUGGGUGAGUAGGGUGUCUAUACAGUCCAACAAUGAACUAAGUAACUAGUUCCUAUAGUAACUACUAUUUAUUAUUGGUACCAUUGUUAAAACUAUUAUAACCCUUACACUUAUUAAUUUUUCUUGUUUUGUUUGUUUUAACUUUGUUUUACUGAAUACUAUGACCAAGGUAACUUCUAAAUCGACAAAAAUAAUUUGAUUUUAUUACCAAUAUACCAAUCACGCUAAAUAAUAUUUUUUCAAAUAUAAAUAUUAACUAUUUUGCUAUGAAAUCUUGAUUUUUUUUUUAAUUUGGGCUAAAAUAACAUAUUCCAAAAAAAAUUAACUUUUAAUAUAAGUUAUAAUUCAUAUAAUUUAGUGUAAGUACUAUUUUUUAAGCACUUAUAUGUUAAUGGGAACCUCAGCUUCCAUUACCCCUGCCCCUGUCUGUAUUAAUCGCCAUAUCAAAAAUCCUUUUGGUAAAGUUCAAAACCGGGUUUUGUCAUUUACUAACACUCAAACCAAAUAAUUCCAAAAAUUCAAUAUCCAAACCAUAAUUGAUAAAUUUCAAAAUCAAAACUGUUAAAAUUAAUAUAGGUUUAAAGUUUUAAAUAUUCAACUAAUUUUGCAAAUUAUUUGCAACUAGUGUUUACAAUUGAUAAUCAAGUAUUAAGUAAAAAAAUAUUUUAACAUCUAUAAAUUAUAUUUCCGAAAAUAAUUUGUGUUAGAUAUUAUUGUUAUGUGUAAAUGGCUGAUUAGAUUGAAUCAAAUUUGUUUAGGAUUGUAGACACUUUCUCAUUUAGUAUAAGUGUUCAGCUGAGCAGUAAAAUGAGUGUUUUAACCAAGUAUUCAGCAGGUGUAAACUAGGCUAUUUGCCACUUGUCUGUCUAGUUAAAACAUGUUUAAAAACAGUUUUACAAAACUGAAACUAAAUAAUUUCAAAACCCAAACUAAAAUUAUUUAAGUUGAUUCAAGUGGAUUAAAGAUCCGCCUUUGGGCAUGUUUGAAAAAUAGAAUUGCUAAAAUUUCAUACUAUACCAUAAUAUAGCGUCUUUCUUUAGUUUUUACUAGAAAUUUAAUAAAAUUCAAAGAGACUUUACUAACUUGGUUUAUCAAUUUAUUUCACCUAUCAAGUGUAUUUUUUUUUCUCAUUUUAUGAUGUUUAUUCACAGUCUGAACAGAAAAGUUGUUUUCCAGUAGUGAAAUUGUAUUCUUUUAAUUCUGAAAUUCUUAAAUAAAUUAUUGUGUUUGUUUUUAUUUUAGUAAGUGAUACAAUGGAUAAUGGCUCAUUUAAUAGCAUUGUAGAUAUUUCUACAUGAGAAAACAUAGCCAAUUACCCGUGUUAAUUUCAUUACAUGUUUACCUAAAUUAUUAUUUUUAUCAUACUUUGAGUUAUGUCUGAUAUAGGCAAUGCUAAAGAUAAACCGUAGCCAAUAUUUACUCAUUCCAUUUUAUCAUUAUGUGAUUGUUUAACAAAACUAGUAUGACUAAAAUAUGACAAUAGAUUUGCUGAUGUUACUAUUAAGAAUCAAUUAUUGAAAUGGUUAUUAGUGCAUGUCAGUUAUACAUAAUAAAAAUAACAUAAGUAUAAUAGGUACAUAAUUAAGACUUGCAUUUAUAAUAGAUUUAAAAAAUAAAUAUAGAUGAUAAAAAACAAAUGGAAACAUGAAACAUUAUUGAUCUCUAGCUAUUUACACACCAUACGACAUUUACCCAUACUAAUACUAGGUGUACCUACAAUAAAUCAUAAGUCACAAGAACAGACAUUUUACUUGACGAGAUACAAUUUUGGACACCUUAGAUCAUAUUGUAGGCACUUACAUUAUGAUCCAAGUUAAAUACAUAUAAAAUCACAGGUCAAAUGUUAAUAUAAAUACACGAUAAAACAAAACAAGAUAGUAAUAUACUGCCCUGCUAAGCAAAAGUCCCAUAAUUCAAAAGAAAAAAAAACAGAGUUAGCUAUGGAAUCUGAUUGAUACACCAAUUUUAAAUAUUUUCUUUAGAGAAAAAAAACCCUGAAAUUAAAUAAAUAGGCUAAAAACACAAUAUAUGUGUGAUUUAUUCAUUUCUGUGUUCUAUUUUAGCUGCAGUGUUAUUGCCUAGCAUUUUUUUUAAGUAACUGCAUUGUGUUUUAAUUGCUACUAAAUUAUUAUUUCCUUAUUUAUUUUAUUUUAUAACAUCUGAACAGGAAAUAUUGUAUGUACAAGUGAUGGACACAAUCAUUUUGAUGAUACUACAAUACAAAAUACAAUAUAGAACAUUUAGAAAAUUUAUUAUUUUGUUAUGUUAAGAUUAUUGUUAGGAAAUCAUGAAUUAUUUUUAUUUAUGGUUAGAUUAUAAAUCACAACAAAAAAUAAACAAACCCACCGUGUUUUAUUAAAAGAUAUGUGAUUAUAAAAACUGUUUGAGGUAAAUUUAUUUUGUACACAUAAUGUAAUUUUUAAGAAUAAUAUUCAGAGCUUGAAUUUUUAAAGAAAAAAAUAUAUGAAAAUAUUCCAAAACUAAUUAACUUUAAUAUUGACAAUUUAAUUUGUAAAAAGCUAUAUAAUAUAAUCAUAUAUUAUGUAAAAUCUUUUUUAAUAAAAAUUUAUCUAAAGAAAAUAUUACAAUAUUAUUAUGACAUUUUUCUUUGGUAAAUAUAAGUAUAUAGGACUUAGAUUGCUAAGGGAUAACAUAAAUGUAACUUUAAUUUACAUAAUAAGUUAAUAAUACUGUUAUUAUUACUUCAUUGCAUUCCUGUCGAAAAUACUAUAUAUUAAUGUGGUAGGAUAUGUUUUAUACUAAAUUAAAUAUAAUAUAAAAAAAUAAAGGUAUAAGAGUAUGAAAAAUACAAACAUGCAUUUAUCUCAAAACUGCUUGGUAAUUUCCCUACUCAUGCCAAUCUCUAUAUUUUAUUUGUAUUUUCUCAGUCAUCAAACUAUUAUACAAUAUUUGUAUAGAUUGUAGAUUUUAAUUAAAUAAAUAAAAAAAAAUAAAUCUCAAAACUAAUAUAUUUAGCACUUUUUCUUAGUAAGACAGUAUAGGUUUCUAUUGAAAAAUCAAAAUUAACAUGUGGUCUCACUAGUUUUGUUCUAUCCUAGAAAUAAGAUUUCAGAGAUUAAUAAAUGUAUUUUAAUAAUAUAAGAUAUUUUAAUCAAGGAGACUCUGAAACACUGAUCCCGUGUGCUAUCUGAUCUUUUAGCCAUUUACUUGUUUGAGUUGCAGUAUUUUAAAUUUGAAAAAUAGUUUUAUUGAAAAGAAUAAAAUUGUGUAUACUUUGUUUUGUUACUUAGUAGUGGGUAUUUUCAUUGACAACAUACCUGUGUGUAUUUGAGUGGGUGCAACAUUUAAAUACUUCAUAAAAGUAAAAUAUAAAUUUAUAUUUAAAAAUUGGAAAUUUAAACAGAGACCUUAAAAAUAUUUACAAUUUUGAGAACUGAAAGAAAAAAUGUAUUUUUAAUUUUUAAUUUUUUUUUAUUAAAAGAAUAUUUACAAUCUAUGCUACAAGGCAUAAGUCAAUUAGAGAAUAUAAUAUACAACAAUGAUUACACGAGGAGGGAGGCCAUCUAGUGGCAGAAUUUAUUUAUUUUUUUUAAUUUAAAAAAUUAUAAACUCUAUACAUGUGUACAAUAAGCAAAAUGUGUGUUUUAAUGUAGAGUGGUUUGAAAAACGUUUAUAAUCUUAAUUCUUAACCUCUUAAUAAAUUAUAAUAUUAUAGUAUUAUACAGAAUUCAUUCUAUAAUCUAUGUAUUCAAAUAGGUAGCUGAUUUUUAAGAUAAAAAUAGAAAUUCAAGAAUAAAUUAACAAUAGUAUUUUACCAUAGAAUAAAAAUUUUUUCGUGUCUAUUUAAAUGAAUAAAAUCUUGAUAAGUAAAAAGUUUGCAACAUUAUAUUUAUAAUUAUAUCUUGGUUUUUAUAUAUUAAAUUAGUUUUUAUUGUGGACUAAAAUGUAAACAUAUUAAUAUAACAAAUAUAAUAUGUGGAAAGGAUUAUAGUUUACUAAUUUUAUAAAAUUAAAAUCACUUCUAUAUAUUAGAAUCAGUAUUAAUAUUUUUAGAGCUCUUUGUAAAAAAUUAUGUAUAAAAUGUUCUACACAUUAAGAAAAGAACUCAUAUUAAAUAAAGAUUAUAAAUAUAAAGUAUAUAUUUAUAAAAAAAAUUCAAAUAUAGUCAUUUUUUUAAGCACCUAAUUAUAGUUCAACUAUACAAAUAGGUAAAAAAUUUAAGUUAUCUUGUUUAUAAAAUUCAUGGAUUCUUAGAUUCUUUCUAUUGAUUGUCACCCUGACUAAUUCUUAUUUAUUUUAAACAUUCAAAUUAAUAUUAUGUAAUCUUUUUGAAAAUGUAUGCAAAAAAAAAAAAAAAAAUACAAAUAACAAAAACACACAAUUUAAUUUAAUAAGUGUAACUGCGUAACAAUGUAAAUGUUGCAUAUUUAUAUUAUAAAAUUGGUCAGUUAAGAAGUUGAUUGUUUUGGCUUUACCAUUUAAGAAUGUAUUUAUAUCAUUCUACUUUAUUUUUGCAGGAAGAAUGGAUCUUUUGAUAUAAAUUUGUCUUAGCUAAGGAUGGACAUAAAUUGGAAUGAAUUUUAUGAAAUAUUCUUCCAAAACAGCAGAUUGUUCAUAUAAUAUUCUAGCACAUAAAUCCUUUAAUGUUAACCAUCUAGAUGGGACAUAUUUUAUAAACUUUUUGGUAGGGACAUUUAAUUUAGUUUUAAUGCUUGUAUAAUAUUCUUCUCUACUUGGGAAAUCUAUCAAAAUAAUGAAAGCUAGAAAAAUAGAAAUUAUAUAAUUCUUGAAGUUUUUCUAAAACCUCAAUAAACACAUUGUGCAUUGUGUAUAAUUUACCAAUAUGCCCAUCAAAUUAUACUUUGUAAGGUUUGAAAAUUCUUGAUUUAUUAUUAAUUUUAUUUCGUUAACAUAUUUACCAAAGAUAUAUUAGCAUUAUUCAAUGCUAUCUAAAUAUGUUGACAAAUACAAAUGAUGUGAUAAUAAUUAUAAUAUGUACAUAAGAUAACAAAAUUGAAAACUGAUAAUAAUAUUUAUUAAAAUAGCAAGUUUUAGUGACUUUUUGAUUAAAGGGAAUUAUUAGUAGCUAUGUUUAAACACUGAAACAAAUUAAUAGCUAGAUUAGCAUAUUGGAUAGAAAUACCAGAACAAACAAAAGGUGCGUGUGAUCUGCCUAAUAAAAAUUUGUUGAUAUGUUUGUUAUAUCACUUUAAUAUUACAAAAAAAAAAAAUCAAAAUUACAAAAAUUAUUAUAAAUUUAAAAUUUAAAUGAGUAAAUAGAAUAAAAAUAAUAAAACAUAUAAAAUCAAGCAUUUACGUAGUAGCCGUACCUCCAUACCAUAUUUAUUUAUUUAUUCAGCCGAUUACAAUUUAUUAAUUACAAUGAAUUACAUUAAUAAUAAUAGCUGAUAUAUAUAUACAAACUGAGCUAUAGCUCGUAUUUGGUGUAUGGAGUUCAUGAAUAUUAUUCAGUAUAAAAUAAUUAUUGAUGUAGUAGAUAUGUAUACGAUUAAAAUACAACUUAAUUAAAUAAAAGUACCGGAGAUGGUUUUUUUUUUUUUUUUUUUGUAACAUAAUCUAAAUUUGAAAUUAAUCAGCGUUAGAUAAGGAAAGAUAUUAUUUUUAAACAUACUGACAAUUUAUAAUUUUAUUAGUACACACAUUCUCAUCAAAUUCAUAAACUAUUUUAUUGAUUGCUUUUUUUUAUUACUCUUUACAUCGGUAUUUAAAUUGUGGAAUAUAGUUUUACCCAUGCUAUAGCUGGAGGUUCUUAUACUAGUUAAUAAUGUUAAUGACGUUUUAAUGUAUUUUCCUAUUUUUCUGUCUAUUUUAUCCGUACCGUUAAGUGAGUGGUUUUUGAAUGGAUUUUAUUAAAAAAUUGCCUAAUGUAUAAUUAUAAAUAAUAAUAAUUAUAUUUUAUCUACUUGGGAAAAAAUAAUUUCCACUUUCAUAAUAGUAAUUUGAUAGUACAUGAGUUAUACAUAUAGAAUAUCAUGAACAAUAGUUAUUUGAUGACUAAAUAAAAGUUAAAUUAUGGCACUUGAAGUUGGCACUCCGACUUCGUCCGAUCAGAUGGAAAUUGGUGUUAGUAUUUUACAACAAUAUGCAACACCAAUAAAGGAAUGUGAUAUCAAAAACAAGUUUGGAAUGCAACGCCAGUAAAAGAUAGUUGCAACGUAUUUUUGACAGUAGUAUAAUGAAUUUGGAGUGCUUACUUAGUUUUUACUUACUCCAUUUUUAUAAAUAAAAACAUAUCGUCGAGAAUGUCAUGUCCCAUUGAGAAACCCGGUAGUGGCCGGUACAAUAUUAAUACCUAAUAGAUAAACGAAUAACGACAGAUAACGCAUGACGCAAUUUACGAAAUAGAAAUUCCUAAAAUCAUGAUAACGUUAUUCGACUUGGUAUUAUGUGGUGAAAAAAAAGAACAUUUAAUUUUUAUAAAAAGCAACUACAAAAUUUACAAAAUAAUUAAAUAGAUUUCAGUUGAUUGUUUAACUAGUUUUUAUUAAAAAAAAUCACUACUAUGUUCUUAAAUAAAUUGUCUUCAGUAAAACGUUGAGGAUUUGAGCUCAAAAUAUUUAUGUACACAAAAAAUAAUCGUUAUACGUCCACUGAAGUUAUUUGGUGUAUCUUAUACAUGAAUAAUUAUCUAAAUUACCAUUACAACUUAUUAAAUCGUCAUCGUCAUCAUCAUCAGAAUGGCAUUUAGAAGGAUACUUAUGACAUGUGCGGCCACUGUUGUAGGUGGGUAAUGGGGAAGGUGAGGUUUAUAAAGUUAUUUAAUUUAUAUCUGUAACCGACGAUAAACUUUAUUAAUAACGUAAACCAAUUCGGAGUGAAGUUCGGUUUUACAUGUUUUAAAAUGCCGUAAUAUUUAUGAUUUUCGUCAAAAUUUGAUAUUAAAAUUUAUAAAAAAAAAAAAAAUACUACAUGAAGCUCAAAUUUGUUUUAACCACAAAUCACAACAUUUGAAUAGGGUAUUUCUCCGUGAAAUGAAAAUGUUUAGGAAUUGUAAAAAAACUGUUUUUAGAUAUCAACAUCAAAUUUAGAUGAAAACUGAAUAAGGGUUGAAUUAUUAAACUACCUUAUAAAAAAACAAAUUUACUAUAAUAUUGAUUAUUUUAUGAAGGAAUAAACGUGUUUGAGAUAUGGCCUUUUCCAAUGGUUUGCAAAUUUACAUUGAUUAUAAUUGCGAAUCUAAAUUGUGUACCAUAUAAAAUUAAAUAAUAAUUCGUAUAAAAUACUUUAUGCAUUCUUUUUAAUAAUUUUAUUUAUAAACUACAAAACAGUAAUAAAAAAAAAGUAUGUAACAUUUAUAACUUUUUAGUUCAACAAAAAAAUAUCGUUUCUUUUCAGUACCUACAUUUAAAAAAAAAAUAUGUAUAUAGUUUAUCUUUUGACUGGGUACUAAAUAUUUAAAAAAAACAAUAAAAAACUUUUUUAUAUUUAUUAGAAACCUUCGUCAGAGUUAAUAAAUAAUAUAAAUAAAGAUAUUUAAAUAUUUUGGAGAAAUGACCUUUUCGAGAGCACACGUUAAAUUUAGACCAUAACGAAUUUUCGUAGGUAUCGUAGGAAAUAUGCAUUAUUAUUAGUUAAACACGUUUAUCACAUAAAACUAGUUUUUAAUAAGUAUGGAGAAAUGACUGAUUUAUUUAUGGAACCUCCUGUUAACUUUUCAAGCAUUUCUGUUUAGUCUAAUAAUUUUAUCCACAAAGUACCUACUAAAUAAAAAUUGUGUACAAAACUUGCAAAAUUAAAAUGUUUAUAAUCAGCUCAAAAAUGAAUCAAAUAUUUUGAAAAUUUGACCACGUCCAGAAAAAACAAUUUUAUAAGUUUUCUAUCAAAAUUUCAAGUCUUUAUGAUUAUAUUAAAGUGAAUUACAUUCAAAAAACAAAAUUGAAGAAAAUAAAAGAAUUAUUUUCCUUCAUUUUUCCCAUACUUUCUGUUAUUUUUAGUCGAUUUUGCUCAAUCAUUAAAACAAAAAAAAUAAUCAAAAAACCUUUUUCUUGUUUACCAACUAGAUUAAAAAUUCAACAAAAAUGAUCUUUUGACGUUUAUCUAUUGGGGUAAUAUUUAUAAUAGAAAAUAUAAGCCACACAAAUUUAAAAUAAUGAAAUUGUGUGCCGUAAAAUGGCAAAAAUCGUAUAAUUCGCCCUUUUUGAUUUUUCCAAAUUAUGAAAAUAACUUUAGAUAUCAAAAACCACUUACAUUACCAGUGGCGAAACAUUAUAAGGAACAAAAUCGAUCACUUGUCAUUUUUGAAUUGGAGCAAUAUAUCUAGUAGAAAACACUGUGUUAACAUAAUAAAAACAAUGAAAACGGCAACAAAGCGGCGCGCCGUAAAUAUUUACCGUUUUACCAAUAAUUUUCUUUGGGGGUUUUUCCAAUUUUUUCAAAAACUUCUCGAAAAAUUACCUUUUCGAUGCAAUCAAAGAGAGAAAAUUCUCUUUCGGAAAAGGUACUGCAGUCAGUAGCAGAUUUUCAACAUUUUUCUGGAUGGGGCCCUGAAAAAUCAUAUGUAUUUAAAAGGUAUUUCUGUUAAUAGAUGCCCCUUUUUUUGGACGAUAUUUUAUUGAAAUUAUAUCGGUGUCUGGAGGGGAUGUCCAGUCCGUCUGGAUCCCGCCAAUCCGUAAAUCCGCCACUGGCUACUGUCUAUAUUUCGAAGCAAGUUUUCUGAUAGAAAAGUUGUUUACAGACAGAAAAAAAAAUUACAAACAUCACGGUAAAACUAAUAGAUCCCUCGCUACGCUCCGAUUCAAAUUCAUCCAUCAUCACCGAUAUUAAAUGAAACACAUUUUCGUAUACAAAUUUAUUUUUCUAUUAUUAUUAUUGUAAAAAAGAAGGCGUUUGUCUUGAAAUCCGAACACUACUAAGUGUGUACAACUACUAUUAGUUAAAUGAACUAAUAUUAAUAGUGGAUGCAUAUUUUAAUUGUAUACAUCAUUAGUUUAAUUGCAAAUUCAGUAUAAUAAUUGAAAUUUCAGUUUUUGGAAGAAAAAUUUAGCCCGCAGGAGGAGCAGCUGCUCACCCUGCCCCUCCCGUGAGCCUUUAAUGCAUUUAAUGUGUUAAUUAUUUUGAAAAUUUGUUAAAAUACUUAUAUAUAUUUAUAGAAUAGAUACUGUAUCAAAGUUGUAUUUUUUUUGUUUUUUUUUUUAAUUAUUGAAUUUGUUCUACUGCAAUAUAGGUAAUGCCUAACUUAUUUUAGUAUAAUUUAUUAUAAAAUAAACAUAUAUUAUAUUUGUAUACAAAGUGUUCUAUUUAAUUGCCAUACACGAUAUUUCGAAAAGUAAUCAAUUUUUACAUCACAUUUUUUUUUUUUUUUUUUUUUACAAUUUAAUGAACAAGCUGCUCUAAAAAUUUUAAUUAAUAUUUUAUUUUGGUCAUCCUUAUUUUUGGGGAUUUUAGGUACGAUUUCCUACUGUCGAUUAUUAAAUUACAACGCAUAUUAAAAAUUCCAUAAAUGGAUGGAGUAUUAAUUUAAAUUAAUUUCGAUGUCGAAAUUCUUGAUUCCCGUCAAUCCGUUAACGAGUUAUUUCUCUUUUAAGUUUGGAUACGUUUGGAUAUAUACAGAGUGAUCAACAUAAAACAUUUUAUGAUUUCGCAAAAAAAAAUUAAUUUUUUCAAAUUAUGUCGAAAUAGUUUUGUACAAUACUCUGAAAAAACAAAAGCCUGAAGUCGCCGGGGUAUUACUGAUGUCAAUUUUAUUUUUCGUAAAUAAUAUUAUCAAAUAAAAUUAUUAUUUUUUUUUUAAAUCAUUAAUAUUACGUCAAUAAAUACAUGAUAUGUAAAAUAAAUUGUGGGCCACUAUUGUAGCUGAGAAGUUAGGAAAGUAGUGAAGUGGGAAAGCAAUGUAUAUCUGUAUCCAGCGAUUAACCAUUGCCAACAAAAAAACGAUUCUGAGUGGAGUUUGGUUGAUAGUGUUGCUUUGUCAACAAUAUAUUAUAUACGUCAUACUAUGGUAAAAUAAUAUGCUUUAAACAUGUUCAUUGUAUCUAUUUUCCCGUUUUUCUUGCGUUUCUUCCCUGUUUUCCCAUGUUUUUCCCAGUUUUUCCCAUUUAUCAACUAGGUACUUGGAAAACAAAAGAUGACCACCCUAAAGUACCACUCCAAUCAGAUUUGCUCUCAGAAAAAGGACUAUUAUUGUAAAUCGGAGUAAAAUUGCUGGUAGAAAAGUUGUUCACAGGAGAAAAACACCGUAAUAUUCGUUUAUGCAACACGAUUUUAGAAAUUUAAUAAACUUACACCGCGAGUUUCCUAAGUAUAUUUGUUCAUUUUUGUUUGUAACAUUUUAACUAUCAUAAUUUGUAAAAUAUUAAAACUAUCUUGAUCAAGAAGACUUGGAUAACAUAUUAAGAAGGAAUUAUUUUAUUUACAAAAUGGUAAACUAAGUAUGUAGGUACUUUAAUGUAUUGUGCUGUUAUAAGAAAAACGUUGUAAUUUCUUUUUAUUGACGUUGUUUAAUGUUGCAAAAUAAUGACACCUACUAAUUUCGAACGGACAAAGUCAGAGUGUCAACUUUACGGAAAUGCCUCUUUUUAUAUAUCUUUUUUACUUUUAUAACAAUAUGCACAUUUAAUUUUGUUACUCAUAAUGUCACAAUGUACAAAAAAAAAAAAAAACCUAUUGUUCAAGAUAUUAUUGAAAGUAUGUAAGAUAGAAAAAAAAAUCACGUAGUUAUUUCACGUAUCACGUUAACAGAGAGCUAGCAACUGAUUAUUGUAUUAUUGUAACUUUUGAAUUGUUUCAAAUUGUUGAAUUGGCUAAAUGAUUAUGUCAAGGUCAAGUAAUAAUCAUGCGUAUUGUAGAUAUUUUUUUAUUUUUUUUUAAACAAGUGUUGGUCGAACACCACUCCCAGGUAGACAGUAGAUUGCACGUAACAAUGGUACCCAAAUGACAAAUUACAUAAAACUUAUUUUCCAACUAUAGAAUUUUAUUAGGGUACUAUUACCAACUACAAUCAAUUUUUUUUGAAAUCUAUAAGAAAAACGAUUUCUACCCUGUUACCGUGUCCAUUCAUUCACAUAUUUUCUGGUUGUAUUGUGUGUAAAUUGCACAUUGUUAUGAAUACCUACAACAUUUUAUAUUUUUUAAUUAAAUAAAAAAUAGGAAAAAUUGAAAUUGGAAAAAAGGUUUAAUGAUUUCUGUGAUAAGUAGCAUUUAUAAUUGUAUACUUUUUAUGUGCUAAUAGUCUUCCGCAAAAUGUAUUAACUGUUCGAGUUACAGAUACAAGGUAAGAGUUUAUAGGUAAUAAUUAAUUUGAAAUUCAUAGUUUAUAGGUAGCAUGUAUAUACGUAUACACAGUUCCGGUUUUAAAACUGCUUGUUUUCAAUUAAAUUUGUGUCAAUUUGAUCUAUUUUGUAUAAUUCUGGGCUGGUGUCAAUAUUAAAACGCGGUGGGCCGAUACAUUCCCUAUCCGGCGCUGCAUGCAUAGGUAUGGAUUAAAUCGUAUUUACGAAUGUAGGCACCAAAAUUGUAAACACUGUGUGCCUAUUUUACUUACUUAUCUUUAUUCUAUAUUAUGCUAUUUAUAUAAUGUUAUUAUUACUAUGUGGUUGGAUGAUUACAGAUGCGGCGUGAAUGUAGUUUUAACGGUUCACUGAACCGCCAAAAAUUUGGGAUGGGUGGGUGUUGACACCAUAAUCUAACUAAAGUUACUCUCUUGAGGACAUACUGCUUCCCGUAAUACGAUUCUAGAAACCGUUUUGCCCAGAAAAGCUACAGGUGCCUACGCUUUCCAUAUUUAUAGUAGAUAAUUACCAAAAUUUCAUAAUUCAUUGAGAAGAACGUUAUCUGUGCCAUAGCGUUUUCUUUUUUUCGAGCGUUUAACACGUAAUAAUUUGUGUACUUAGGUAGUUAGGUACCUGACCAGUAUUCAUUCAAAUCUAUGCGAAUUUUGUGUGAUUCAUACACAAACAGCUAUAAAACACACCUACAUCUGUUGUAUUGAUCUAAUAAUUUUAAAUUAUUCAUUUCGAACAUAAUACUUUAUGAAUACCUAUAACUUGCCAAUAAUCAGUAGUUGAAGGUUUUUAACUGUCAUCAAAGUAGGUAGUCCUAUAAAAAUCCAUUUAUUGCUGUAUGCUUUGUUUGGUAUGGGAUUUCUAAAACUGAAGGUGAGAACUCCAUUCUUUGUUCAAAUUACUAUUCUAAAAGUAAGCGGCCGAUUAUUUCACAUAUUUACCUAUUAAAAAAAAAACAGUAACAUACAUACAUAUACAGUUAGAUAUAUUUAAUUGACAAUUAUUAAUAACAAAUACUAAUUUGAAAUCUAUUAUCGACAUUGUAAUAGUUUUCAAAACGUCUGUUUUUAUUUUUAUUUAUAAGUUAUACGGCGGCGACGGCUUGUCCGGGUUCUAGUCACCAAGGCCAUUGAAAAACGACGAAAUGCCAUCAAGUGUUACGUAUUGUUAUACCUCUUGAAUACUGUCCGAGGACAUGACGUAAGUUUUUUGAUAAAAAUAAUUCGCAAAAAAAAUAUACCUACUGUAUAGUUUUAAUAUUAAAAAUAAUCGUAUCUUCUGAACUAUACAUACAGAGAACUAAACAUAAAGAGCUUAAGUUUGAUAAUCGGGAUUUUAUAGAUUUCAUAGAUAAAUCAUUGUGGAUCGAUUAUGAUUUGCAGGUAAACACGCGGUUAUGGUCGAAAAUGUUUGGAAUUUUGAUGUUUCCUGGUGGUAACUGAUAACAGUGAUGGCACGUCGGCGGGUGACCUCAUCAAACUUCAAACGCGCAAAAAAAAAAAAUAUAAUAAUUAUACAGUAACGGAAAAAUCGGAAAAAUAAUAAUUAAAUUAUAAUUCUAUAUUCUAUAUAGAUCCUUCUAUUAUAGUUCCUGUGUACCUAUUAUUUUUUUUAUUUUAAAAUCCUGAUUAUCAAACUUAAUCAUCGGUUUUGAUAAUAUUUUUGUUACUCCGUAAAUUAGACAGUUUCAUAAUGCACUUGUUCCCCUAUUACUUACCGAUCGUGAUUUGUGGUUUUGCACAACGAAUAUUGGGGUCUAUUGUCGUUUAAAAAUCCGACACGAGUUCGCACUCAAGCUGACGAACAAAUCGACUAUGUUAGACUGGGAAUAAUUGGUUUUUUUUGUUCUAUGCAAAUAAAAAUAACAUUAUUGAAUAUUAUUAUUUUUCCGAUUUAUACUGCCCUCCUCUCUCCCCCCCGGGUCAGAGAAUGCCAAAUUGACGUUAAUGGAAAGGAACGGUCCCCACCACCCGUUAUAAAACUAACCUGGCAACAGCAAUACCUACUAUAAAACAGAAAAAAAAAUUGCCACAAGGAAUGGCAAAUAGUGCACAAUAAUGGACGCUCAACGAAAUUUUGGUAAACUCUCCAACGUUUUCCCGGACGGUUGUCUAAUAAUUAUAUCAUUUAAAAGUGUACGCAAAAUUAUAAUACGCUCAUGUUAUUUGUUAUUUUAAAACGCGAUAUUAUUAUAAAAAAAAACAUAAGAAGGCUAAUAUGUCAAUCAGUUACUUAUUUUGUAUUAUUCAUGAACGAUUCUCUUAGGUACUAUAUAUUGCAUUUUUUUUUUUUACGGUCGACGGCCCGCGAACGUACGUUAACCAAUUUAAUUAAUUGAAGAUCCAGUGAAGUUAUCACGUUGAGAACACGUUGUAAAAAUACCAUUAAUUCUCGUCGUCCCCUCAAAGUACUAACGGCAGCCAUUUUGAUAUGAAUAUUGAUAUAGUUUUUAAUUAAAUUUCCUCGUUUUGAAAAUUCAAACGCACCGUAUAAUAUCGAUAAUAGACGCGCGGUCAGCCGGUUGUCGACCACUGAUUUAUAUGAUUGAUUGACUGUUACGUACGGUAAGUUGCCUAUGUCAUGAUUUAACGGCGUUUAUUUUUUUAAGUAUGUUUAAAUUAUAAUAAUUCGUGAGUAGUAUAAUGUAAAUUCCCGGUAUAAAUUAUAUAUUUUAUGUAUUUAUAAUUUUUUUUUUUUUUUUGGUUAAAUUUAAAAAAUUUUCAAAGUGGCCAUUUGUAAAAGAUAUUAUUCUAUACAUUUUUAAUGUGCCAUAUUAUGUUCAUAUCCGGUAAACAGUUUAUUAGCAAUAAUAAUAUUUUUAAUUUCUAAUAUUUUCGAUUUCAGACGCAAUAAAUAAUUUGUAAUAGGUACAGAGUAAAAUGAAAACCUGCUUAUUGUUAAAAUAGUGUUAUUUAUACUAUCCGUAUUACGAUUGUGAUUACUUAUUAAGUAAUGUGCUAGUAAUUUAAUACAAUUUUUUUCACAAUUAAAAAUUAAAUCUUAUGUUACUAAACAACUUUUCGUCAGAUAUGUAUGUAUGUUAGAUUGAAAAUUAACACAGAUAUAAAAAAAACUCGGCUGGCCAACCUGCAUACUCACUUAAAACUGAUGUAAUAAUUAUACAUGGACGUAGCUGCAUAAUUUAAGAACAAAUUAGAGUUUGUAUGUAUUGAAAUAAAAUCAUCAUUAAUAUUUUAGAUUUUGUGCUAAGCAAGAUAAUUAUGUAUAGGUUUUACUAUGAUUUGUCCCAUUUUUAAAUUUUUUUUUUGUAUUUGUAUACAACUUAUCUACUAUACAUUUUGAUCUAAUUAAAAAAUGUCAAGUGACUUUGUAUUUCAG